CAGGCAUGAGCCACCGUACCCGGCCUAAUUUAGCUCUUUCCAUCUGCUUGAUUUAGCCAAGGCCACUUUCCUGUAACUUUCCACAGGGCCAGUCCCCUUCAUUUGACCUGAUAACAAGAACUCGUGACUUUAACUGGACAAAUGAGUUUCUUCUCAGGGUGGCUACUCUACCAGGAGCACACAGAAGUGCUCAGCGCCCCCACCCAGCUCUCCUAGC